UAUGUGGUUUAAUUCGAUGCAACGCGAGAACCUCACCUGGGUUUGAACUGCUGGGGCCAGCCACGGAGACGUGGUCUUCCCUUCGGGACUCCAGCGAGAGGUGCUGCAUGGCUGUCGUCAGCUCGUGCCGUGAGGUGUUGGGUUAAGUCCCGCAACGAGCGCAACCCUUGCCUUUAGUUGCCAUCAUUCAGUUGGGCACUCUAGAGGGACUGCCGGUGUCAAACCGGAGGAAGGUGGGGAUGACGUCAAGUCCUCAUGGCCUUUAUGCCCAGGGCUACACACGUGCUACAAUGGGCGGUACAAAGAGCAGCGAGCUCGCGAGAGUAAGCAAAUCUCAAAAAAGCCGUCCUCAGUUCGGAUUGGAGUCUGCAACUCGACUCCAUGAAGUUGGAAUCGCUAGUAAUCGCGGAUCAGCAUGCCCGCGGUCGAAUACGUUCCCGGGCCUU
rnacentral:rRNA from 1 species